GGUCAGUACUCUCAGAUCUGACGAGCGAAGCGGUCAGACCGGAGGUAAUGUCUGCGUGGCUUUUCAAUGAUGGUGACAACUGAGGGACCCCAAGGGGCUGAAAAGUUACACCGUGGUGGCUUUAUUUCUGCUGGACAGGUCACCUGCAGAUUUGGAGUCUUUCAUAUCCCCGCUGUACUUCUCACCUGUAUACGCUGAUCGGACCAUGCUGGCUGGCCUGGAUUACAACCACCGUGUCCACAGUCCAGCCAGGAAAAAUGCUGAUGACACAAUUCAGUACAGCAAGGUGUACUACAAAAAAGUCCAGGAAGUGGAGCUUGUACUCAUUGAAGGUGGAGAAGGACUACAGUUCGCAGACCUCCACAGUCCCAUCGUCCUCCUCCGACGGUUGUCUACUACUGAGAAGCUGCCUAGAAGCAGAACCAGGAGAACCUGAUGAUUCCCGUCAACAUUUGGGUUCAGUCAGGUGUCCCUGCCCCAACUGUAUUCCUAGAUACAGGAAAACGUACAACAAAAAGUAAUAUGGUUGGUUUUGAAAUUUGGUACAUGUCAGAGAGGUGAUUCUGAUAUAUUAAAUCAUCUCCACAGCAAUGAUAUGAUGCUACAUGCAAAGUCUGAA